UGGCGGCAGGCCUAACACAUGCAAGUCGAGCGCUACCUUCGGGUGGAGCGGCGGACGGGUUAGUAACGCGUGGGAACGUACCCAGAUCUAAGGAAUAGCCACUGGAAACGGUGAGUAAUACCUUAUACGCCCUUCGGGGGAAAGAUUUAUCGGAUUUGGAUCGGCCCGCGUUAGAUUAGAUAGUUGGUGGGGUAAUGGCCUACCAAGUCUACGAUCUAUAGCUGGUUUUAGAGGAUGAUCAGCAACACUGGGACUGAGACACGGCCCAGACUCCUACGGGAGGCAGCAGUGGGGAAUCUUGGACAAUGGGCGCAAGCCUGAUCCAGCCAUGCCGCGUGAGUGAUGAAGGCCUUAGGGUCGUAAAGCUCUUUCGCCAGAGAUGAUAAUGACAGUAUCUGGUAAAGAAACCCCGGCUAACUCCGUGCCAGCAGCCGCGGUAAUACGGAGGGGGUUAGCGUUGUUCGGAAUUACUGGGCGUAAAGCGUACGUAGGCGGAUUAGUCAGUCAGAGGUGAAAUCCCAGGGCUCAACCCUGGAACUGCCUUUGAUACUGCUAGUCUUGAGUUCGAGAGAGGUGAGUGGAAUUCCAAGUGUAGAGGUGAAAUUCGUAGAUAUUUGGAGGAACACCAGUGGCGAAGGCGGCUCACUGGCUCGAUACUGACGCUGAGGUACGAAAGUGUGGGGAGCAAACAGGAUUAGAUACCCUGGUAGUCCACACCGUAAACGAUGAAUGCCAGUCGUCGGGCAGUAUACUGUUCGGUGACACACCUAACGGAUUAAGCAUCCG
rnacentral:rRNA from 1 species